CCUUCACCUGGGCCGCGCGGCCCGCGGGCGGCGGCCUGCCGAGGGGUCGGGGGAGAGGGUCCCGGCACCCCGGGGACCACCCCGGGACGGUGGGGCCGCGCGAGAGCCUGCCUGGAACGCCCACGUGCCGCUCUGCCACGGACUCAGAAACGCCAGGUUGCUGUGCUGGCUUGGGCAACACACACACUAAAACAGCCACAGGUGGACGUUGCUUUGGUGAUCACCCACUCCAGAAGAUGACUUGCCCGAAGUUGUGGAAUGAAUUCUCUUACCUCUGACCAGUUUCUGUUACUUCCUCCUUAUUGUUGUUCCUCAAUCUGCCAGACAUUGGGAUACCUCAAAGAGUCCUUGGAGUUAAGAACAAAUAAUGCUUAAGGAGAGUGUCACCCACAGACA